AUUUAGAUAGUUUAAUAAAAAUAUUGAUUUGUGAUAUCAAAGAUAUAAUUUAUUUAUUUUAAAUA
rnacentral:tRNA from 1 species